CUCUGGGUCAUCGGAUUGAUUCAGGGCAAAGGAG
ncrna:unclassified sequences L31-Firmicutes ribosomal protein leader